GACGAACGCUGGCGGCGCGCUUAACACAUGCAAGUCGAGCGAAGCGGCGGACGGGUGAGUAACACGUGAGUAACCUGCCUUAGACAUUGGGAUAGCCUCGGGUAACCGGGAUUAAUACCAAAUGGUCUAAGAUGGACUCGCGUCCCAUUAGCCAGUUGGUGAGGUAACGGCCCACCAAGGCGACGAUGGGUAGCCGGCCUGAGAGGGUGAACGGCCACAUUGGAAGGAGGAAGCGGUCCAGACUCUGCGGGAGGGAGCAGUGGGGAAUGUAGCACAGUGGAGGGAACGCUGAUGGAGCGACGCCGCGUAAACGAAGAAGGCUUUCGAGUCGGAAAGUUCUUUUAUAUGGGAAGCGGUACCAUAAGAAAAAGCCCCGGCUAACUACGUGCCAGCAGCCGCGGUAAUAC
rnacentral:rRNA from 1 species